rnacentral:tRNA from 1 species
AAGAGAGUAUUAAGAACUGCUAACUCUUAGAACCGCAUCUAAUAGUGCGGCUCUCUU